CAUUAAGAAGCUAUGAACCAGCACUAGCCUUUUAAGCUAGAGAGAGAGGGUCCCCCUCCUUAAUGA
rnacentral:tRNA from 1 species